UACGUAGGGUGCGAGCGUUACUCGGAAUUACUGGGCGUAAAGCGUGCGCAGGCGGUUUUGUAAGUCAGAUGUGAAAUCCCCGGGCUUAACCUGGGAAUGGCAUUUGGGACUGCAAGGCUCGAGUGCGGCAGAGGAGACUGGAAUUCCUGGUGUAGCAGUGAAAUGCGUAGAUAUCUGGAGGAACACCGGUGGCGAAGGCGGCAUCCUGGACCAACACUGACGCUGAUGAGCGAAAGCCAGGGGAGCAAACGGG
rnacentral:rRNA from 1 species